ensembl:lncRNA
CGAGGUGUUUCUGUUUCCAGAAAGCUCUUUGACCGGAUGAGGAAAUUUUAUAACAGUGUACGAGAGCCAUGCUCUUCCUUUUAAUCUAGUUACAUAGCAAGCAGGCGUUCUCACGUUCUAGUGAAUGGUGCGUAGUGCUUAAGAUGUGAGGAGCACACAGAAGGAGCACAGUUGUUUCUCAAAGUUCCAAUCUCUAAGAACAAACCAACAGCCUACCCAAGGAAUGGAUGAAUCAUAGCCCGUGUGGAUGGUUUUCCGUUUUCCCUCUGGCUCUCCUGCGUGUGGCCUCAGACUAGAUUCCUGCCGUCACGCUGCAGGUUCUCACUAUCACCGAGGUUGAAGCUGCUGGUUCUGUGCCUUCCCUGCCAUGGAGGACUGAUCUUCAAACUGUGAGCCACGUAAGUCCUUUUUACCCUAAGGCACUUCUUGUCACGUGUCCUGUAGCAGCGAUGAGAAAAGUAGCUAUCUUCCUUGGUCCCUGCCACCUGUCAACUUCAUGGCCACUGCACUAUCCCUGAC